GCCGGCAUAGCUCAGUGGCAGAGCAACUGCCUUGUAAGCAGUAGGUCCUCGGUUCAAAUCCGAGUGCCGGCUCCA
rnacentral:tRNA from 1 species